rnacentral:lncRNA from 1 species
UAAUAAAACAAUUAACAUAGUUGUUUUUGUUGUUGUUUUUCUGCUGGUGUUCCAACCUAGGGCCUUGUGCUCGACUACUUAACACAUUCUUAAAACCCACUUACAAAAAUUUGUAGUUUUCCUUAUGUAGAGAAGGAUUUGGACAGAUUUUCAUAUAGAUUCACUCUUCUACUGAACUGCAACUCCAAAUCUCUUUGGGGUACAAUUACCCAGAGUACAUCUAGUACCUAAAUCCUUUCUAACAACCUCUAGAUAAAUCUAGAUUCUGAAUCCUAUUUGCCUGAAGCCUCAGUUGUGAAGACUCCUUCUGACUGUCAUGGCAAGUGCAGUUUUGACUAGAUACAGCUUCUAUUUUUUCACAAAACAGAUUUUCUCUGUUUAGCAUUUUGAAAAGCAUUAUUGAAAAAUGAAUAUAUCCAGAGCCAUCAUGGGGAAAGACUUGUUGACAUUCAUUUCAUACUCAUUUGGUAUUCCUGCAAUAGUGAAUUUUCCCUUUCCAUGACUACAUUCUAAAUUCCACAUUUUAUUAAAUGUGUAUCCUGAGAGGUUAUCCUAAAAGGAACAGAUUUUAUCAUCCUCUACAAUUUCUCAACCCAUUUAAUAUUUUCCAAAUUCCUUUCAUAUUUCAGGGACGGACACACUAAGUUUUAAAGAUGUCAUGAUAAAGUCUUGCCUUCAGGGAACUGGCAGUCUAGCUAUUAGUACAUGUCAGAGUUCUUAAGUGGAUCUGUUCACUAGAAAGAAUGGAAUUUGCAACUCCAAAUUCUCCUACUAUAUUGCUUUGCCCACUCUGAAAUCUGAUGUUAAUCUUGCUAUAGUGCAAUUUUCAACUCUUCGUGUUGUUGUAGGAAGAUAAAAAUUCAAACUAACAAACACCAUUAAGAAUCUGCUAUAACCAGGUGUUAAAGAGUGGGCAGACUUCUAAUAUGGCUUCCAAUUAUCCCCACUUCCUUGUGUUCAUGAAAGUAAACUUAUAUAAGUAACCUCCUCAUCUAAUGUGUAGACUGGACCUGGGACUUGCUCCUAAACAAUGAAAUAUGGCAAAGGGGUUGGAAUGUCAUGUCCACGAUUAGGUUUGAAAACAGUCUCUAUUGCCCUUCUGGCUUACAUACUUUGGUAAACCAAACUGCUGUGAUGGAGAAGCAGGAAAUUGAGGGUGACUGCUAUCCAACCACAAUCCAGUAACUGAUAUCCUCAGCUCACCAGUCUGGGAGGAACUGAAUCCUGUCAACACCCAUGUGAGUUUGGAAGAAGAUUCUUCCCCAGCUGGGUGUUCCAGUAAGACAGAGCAUUAAGCUGAGACUAGAUCCCUUACACACAGAAACUAAGGUAACACACACAUGUAUCUUGUUUUAAGAUGGUAUGUUUUGAGUAAUUCAUUAUGCAACAAUAGAUAACUCAUGCAGAAAUCAUCCCUGUUUUUAAGGAAUUGAUAGUAAAGCUGGAGUCAGGUAUAUCACUAUAGAACAAUGUUAAAAGUAGUGCCAUCUGUUGAAGCUCUGCAGAGGUAGCUAAUUCUAUGAUUCUAGCAUUUUAAUCUUGUCUCAAACCAUCUUAAUUUCUGUUAUUACAAGUUUUCUAGCUGGAAAGUCUCUUGAGAAGCUUUAGUUCUGAUCUCAUAUUCUGCAUGAAAAGAAUAAUGAUACAUAAUGCAAUUGCC